AUAUAUAUAUAUAUAUAUAUAAAUAUUCAUAUUCAGGUUUAUUAGUGUGUGAAAUUCUAAAUUUUGAAUUCCGCACUUGAACUUAUUUACACAAAACAGUAAGAUCAGCGCAUUUAAUAAAAUUUCUGUGAAACAUGUGCUUGUGUUAGUACCAAGAUGGUACUUAGUAACCUCCUGGAGACAAUUCAUCACAUAUUUGAGAUUCGGAGAGUAGACAAGAAACCUAAGUCAUUACAUUAUUUCGGUUGCUCAAGUCAUUUGUUAAAUUUGGUUUAACUACUACAUUCGUAAUUUGCAAGCCCGAAUGCAAUAUAAAAAUCAAUUUCCUAAGCAUGUAGUAGGAGAGCAAUAGGGCCUUGGAAGUAACGAAUUUUCACUCAUCACCACACUUUCGCGAGGAGUUUGAUAUUGAGAAAUUCACAGGCACACACGAUUUAAAAGAAAACAUGGACAAUACUGCAAUCUAGCAGGGACAGAAAGCGUUCAGGAUGCGCCACUAUGGCACACAAGAAUGACAUGGGUUAUUCACAAAGGCUGUAGAUCUACAACGGCAAGCGAACAUCCCAGAUCACUCAAUGGACACUUAUCAUGGUCGGGAAUUACUGUUAUCUGCAAUGCGUCGACAUCGUUGAGAUAAGCCGCGGUAAGAGAUAUAAAUGGCUUCGAGGAGUCGGACACAUACGUUGAAAGCUGCGCAAUGGUUACAGAAUAUGGGGAGCCCCACCUUGACAAAUGAACCAGUGAGAAAUGAUGGUUACUUGUAACUUUGCAUACAACUUCUGAAAUUCAGAGCACGAACGCAGCACUGAAUAUCCGAAAUCCGACUGAAACUGCAACUCCGCUAACAAUCUUACAAGCCGAGAAAUGAAGCAUCAUUUUAAACAGAAAGCGAACCGCUGACUGGAAUGGGCACCAUGUUUCGUCAUCUUCACGACAAUAUCUUGUUGGACUAAUAUAGUUAAGGCAUUCGUAAAACUUUAAGCAUCACAUAGCCAUAACUUAGUCACUGAAGACAGGUACUAAACGACUAUUCAAGCAUGUGAUCAAUAACAGAUAAGCAAUGAGCCUAGAUGCAUUAUGGAACGUUGCCCAAAAUGUGUCUUCCGCAGUCCUAACUAUAACCUACAUGGCCAAAACUCAACAUAACGGGAACGACUUCUGCUAAUAUUAAAAGUGAGUUACAACGCGUACCCAUCCAGAAACUCAUUGCCUCCGAUACUACAGAGUAAAGCCAACUUCCACAUUCAAACAUACUGAAACCGAAUUGAAUUGGUCUUGCAUCAUUACGAUGUCAUCAGCAACCGUCUCGAUCACAAGUAGACAAAAAUCCCAACGAUAUGAUGUGAAAGACAACAUUAAUGCGGUAAAAUUAUCAUGAAAAGUAAAAUAUCAUGACCAGGGCCUUGAACUGGAACAACGAACACGCUCAAUUGAACAAAAUUUUAUAAGAGGAAACACUGAAACAAGACCUGCUUCUCAUUAAACAACUGUUGGCUGCAGCAGAGCAUGAUGACACUAUUACUAGUGACUAAAAACCAGGUAAAUAUCCUUGACGUUUGCAUCCUGCCACACAAACCAGUAAACGACUUACAUGUUAUGGUGAGACAAUUUAAAGAUUGUGCAACUACAUCUGCAGGAACUAGGAAAUUCUCGUCAAAGAAACUACGAAUCUCUACAAAACACCCGGAUCUGCAAGAAUUCAAUAUAUUUGACAUGAUUCGAACAUUGCAGAAUCAAAACAAUUCGAAUAAAGAACUACGAGUGAAGGGCUCGUUUAAAGAUGUGCAUAAAGUGUUCUUGCCCCGUGAUGAAAAAGACGAGGAUAUCAAAAGCGAAAUACCAAAUUAUUUGACUUUCUACAGUAUUAAAGUUAAGAGAGAGAGGCCAACCGAAAAUUACGCCUAAAAAUUCGAUCCUAGCGCGUUAAUCCAUCUAAUGCAACGAAUCCAUGCAACCCAGCAUAACGGAAAUCUGCAUUCUUGUACCAUAUAUUAAUCUUAAUAGCGAGCUCCUUCCAACACGAAGCUCUGAAUUUAGAUGAGAUCAGACAUACACCGCACCUACAAAUUAAUCGCCACGGCAUGGCGCCGAGGGUCUCCAACCAAGCAAAUUAAGAUAUUCAAUGUUGCUUCCCACAUACCACGUAAGAAUCGUAGUUCAUGGAAUAUAACCCUAAAAAGUGAUUUACGAGGUUGGAUUACCAUUUCGAAACUUUUUAAGUUCGGAACUAACAGUAAAACCCUAAAAGACAAGCUUACAACCCUAAUCGAAAAGGGUCAGUAGCAAUUUUCAGACCAGCAAAACGAAAACAAUGUAUAACAUUUCCACACGCAGUCCUUUUACC
rnacentral:lncRNA from 1 species